GGUUCAGCCGGCAUUCGUGCCGGUGUACUUCCCUGGGGGCGGGCCAGCGUCGGUUUGGGCGGCCGGUCAAAGGCUCCCGGAAUGUAGUGCCCUCCGGGGCACCUUAUAGCCGGGAGUGCAAUGCGGCCAGCCUGGACCGAGGAACGCGCUUCGGCACGGACGCUGGCAUAAUGGUCGUAAACGACCCGUCUUGAAACACGGACCAAG
rnacentral:rRNA from 1 species